UGGGGUGGGAGCACACCUGGCUGCUGUGCCUAGAGGCUUGCCCUUGCCCUCCUCCCGUCCUCACCAUCCAUCUGUGGUUGGCCAGGCUGAGGACUGACCCAGUCAAGCAGGUUUAUUGUGACCAUGGGCUUCAGUGUCAUCACUUAGCUGGCGCUGGUCCAGUGCUGAUGCAACACAGAUAUUCUCUCUGUGAAUACAGCCUGCCCAGGGAGAUUGGUGGUAGCGUCCCAGUUUCUCAGAAAUGGCAGUUGAGUCCCUGCAUCACAUUAAAUUUAGCAGAUCCGCAAUUUGGACCCGUGCUCCUGACCACUUGGUUGCCCCUGCUUCUCUCUGUUCAUGAUCCACACUAGGCCACCUGCGUGGUGCACUGGCUGUGCCCUUUCACCGGGGAGAACUGGCUUUUCUGCCCCUCUCUGCGGCCCCUUCCCCCCCCAAAUGGUCCAGGAAAGGCUCGGCCUGAACAGGUUAGACCAGGGACUGUUCUCUGAGCCUACUCCUGCUGACCCAGCUCUCGGGGCCCCUUUCUCAAGCAGCCGUGCUGACACAGGCAGAGCAGUCACAGGUGUUCCCAGUGGCAGUUCUCCCUGAGCCUGGCUGAUCUCAUGCUGCCCCUGAGGAGAGAGUCCCACAUGGAGGCCUGGGCACCUCUGUCCCCUUUGCUUGCCUCCUGUCUCUGGUUGUGGGCAGCUACUCCCAGUGACCUGAGUUUGUGUCACCAAUUGCAAGUGGACAGGGAGGAGAAAAAGAAACUAGCUUUGGUUUAUUGAGCACUUACUACAUGCCAGACACAGACUCUUAGUCCCUACACACCCCUUAAGUUCAGAGUGGGUAGGGCGUCAUAGGACAUGGACUGUGUCUGCUGCCUCUUGUGGACUACCUUCAGAGUCCAGGUCAAGCAGGUGCUCCCUGUGCUAGUUUGCCCUGCCCGGGCUCUGCAACCUCUUAGCAGUAUGACCUUGGAUAGGUCAUUUCACCUCAGUUCUCCCAUCUGUAAAAUGGGAUUGUACUAGUACCUGUUUCACAGGGUUGUUCUGAGGAUGAAAUGACUGUUCCUGGUACGUGGUCAGGUAGUUGGAGCAGCCUUGUCCCUGCCCACUGUGGUUCUUCCCAGCCCUGUGCCAGAGAGCCAUGUUCCUAGUCUCCUGCCACCUACCCUGCAUGUGGUGGGAGCUUGUGUUUGGAGUGUUCUGUGGGAGAGCAUAGGCAGGAGAGUGGAAGGGACCCCCACCUUAGUGGGAAGGCAGGGUGGGGCAGGGGUGGAUAGCAGUGGAAGAUUCAUUGCCACAAACCCCAACUAAUAGCAUGUAUGCCAUUGGACUCCCUCCUGCGGGCCCCAUGCCAGCCUCCCUGCCCACUACAUUGCCCUUGCAAGAGUGCUUUCUCUUCUGCCCUGGCUACCCUCCUUUGCUUAGAGCUAAACUCCAUGUAGUGGGGAACAGGAGACCUGGCGGGAUUUGUGGGAGUGGACACUGACAGGAAGGCCCAGGUCAGAGCACUUGGCCAUUUUGAGGCAGCCAAACUGCUCUUGUAAGGGAAGAAAUAAAGGCCUGGCCCUUGGAGCUGCCGUUCACUAAGGCAUUGUAGGAUCCAGGCUUCUCUAGCCCAAGUUCGGGUUUCCCCAGCUUGUGUCUGCUUCUCAGGCCAGCCAUAGAAUACUUUUUAUUAUUGCUGCUGUCUUUUCCCUGUAGACUUAAGCACAUCUCUCUCUUUUUGUUGAAUUUAUUGGGGUGACAUUGGUUAAUAAAAUUAUAUAGGUUUCA